rfam:Hydatigera taeniaeformis genome assembly, scaffold: TTAC_scaffold0009577
GGGUGUGUUUCGCAACGGACAACGCCUCUGAUUACGCAUCAGAAGAUUGCAGGUUCGAAUCCUGGCACACUCA